CGCGUCGAACUCGUCGGCGUGGUCGACGUUCUCGUCGUCGAAGCCGUCCGGGCCGUCGAAGCCGUCGGGUUCGACGCCCUCCGGCACGG
rnacentral:tRNA from 1 species